rnacentral:rRNA from 1 species
GUGGCAGCCGCCGCGGUAAUACGGAGGGUGCAAGCGUUAUCCGGAUUCAUUGGGUUUAAAGGGUGCGCAGGCGGAUACUUAAGUCAGUGGUGAAAUCCCGGGGCUCAACCCCGGAACUGCCAUUGAUACUGAAUAUCUGGAAUACGGUUGAAGUGGGCGGAAUGUAGCAUGUAGCGGUGAAAUGCAUAGAGAUGCUACAGAACACCGAUCGCGAAGGCAGCUCACUAAGCCGAUAUUGACGCUCAGGCACGAAAGCGUGGGGAGCGAACAGGAUUAGAUACCCUGGUAGUCCACGCCGUAAACGAUGAUAACUCGUUGUUGGCGACACACAGUCAGCGACUAAGCGAAAGCGAUAAGUUAUCCACCUGGGGAUACGAUCGCAAGGUUGAAACUCAAAGGAAUUGGCGG